rnacentral:rRNA from 1 species
GAUGAACGCUGGCGGCGUGCCUAAUACAUGCAAGUCGAGCGAACAGACGAGGAGCUUGCUCCUCUGACGUUAGCGGCGGACGGGUGAGUAACACGUGGAUAACCUACCUAUAAGACUGGGAUAACUUCGGGAAACCGGAUCUAAUACCGGAUAAUAUAUUGAACCGCAUGGUUCAAUAGUGAAAGACGGUUUUGCUGUCACUUAUAGAUGGAUCCGCGCCGCAUUAGCUAGUUGGUAAGGUAACGGCUUACCAAGGCAACGAUGCGUAGCCGACCUGAGAGGACGACGAGCAACACUGGGACUGAGACACGGCCCAGACUCAAACGGGAGGCAGCAGUGGGGAAUGUUGGACAAUGGGGGCAACACUGAACAAGACAUGCAGCAUGCGAGAAGAAGGCCUUAGGGUUGUAAACCGCUUUUGUUCGGGAAGAAAUCCACUGGGCUAAUACCCCGGGGGGAUGACGGUACCGGAAGAAUAAGCACCGGCUAACUACGUG